rnacentral:rRNA from 1 species
UUUAUGGAGAGUUUGAUCCUGGCUCAGGAUGAACGCUGGCGGCGUGCCUAAUACAUGCAAGUCGAGCGAACGGACGAGAAGCUUGCUUCUCUGAUGUUAGCGGCGGACGGGUGAGUAACACGUGGAUAACCUACCUAUAAGACUGGGAUAACUUCGGGAAACCGGAGCUAAUACCGGAUAAUAUUUUGAACCGCAUGGUUCAAAAGUGAAAGACGGUCUUG